rfam:Hordeum vulgare subsp. vulgare, WGS project CAJW01000000 data, contig: morex_contig_1153114
UAUAUACUCCCUCCGUCCCAAAAUUCUUGUCUUAAGUUUGUCUAAAAAUGGAUGUAUCUAUAUACUAAAACGAGACCAGAUACAUUCAUAUUUAGACAAAUCUAAGACAAGAAUUUUGGGACAGAGGGAGUAUGAC